rnacentral:rRNA from 1 species
UACGUAGGGCGCAAGCGUUAUCCGGAAUUAUUGGGCGUAAAGAGCUCGUAGGCGGUUUGUCGCGUCUGCCGUGAAAGUCCGGGGCUCAACCUCGGGCCUGCAGCCGAUACGGGCAGACUAGAGUUCGGCAGGGGAGACUGGAAUUCCUGGUGUAGCGGUGAAAUGCGCAGAUAUCAGGAGGAACACCGGUGGCGAAGGCGGAUCUCUGGGCCGAUACUGACGCUGAGGAGCGAAAGCGUGGGGAGCGAACAGG